UGAUGUUUAUUAAUUGGAUGGAGCGAGAAAAAACUUACCCAUCCUAUACAUAUAAGGAAAGCCGGAGAGAUUUGUCCGUGUUGGCAAGAGAACCGGGACACAGGUGGUGCAUGGUCGUCGUCAGCUCGUGUCGUGAGAUGUUGGGUUAAGUCCGGCAACGAGCGCAACCCUUGUCAUUAGUUGCUACGCAAGAGCACUCUAAGGAGACUGCCGGUGACAAACCGGAGGAAGGUGGGGAUGACGUCAAGUCUUCAUGGCCCUUACGGGCAGGGCUUCACACGUCAUACAAUGGUCGGGACAAAGGGAAGCCGCCCCGCGAGGGGGAGCCAAUCUCAGACACCCGCUUGUAUUCCGGAU
rnacentral:rRNA from 1 species